AGAUCAUCAUGGCGGACGGGAGGCAGGACUACAUUGCAGCUCCCGACAGGGCAGCGUGCGGGGCUCGCAUUGUGACUUUUAGCUCCAGAUGGACUGCAGGAAGAAACCAGCAGUCCCGAGAGGACCCGCAGACCCUCUGAAGGAAGUGGGCUGCUCCUGCAGGACCCGGGAGACCCCCGCAAAAGUCUGAAUGCAACAGCCCCUGGUUUCCUGCUCUGUGAGGAAUGGCUAGACCACAUCUCCUGCUGGUGACAAGUGUCAGACACAUUUAUUAAAAGCCAGAAGCUAGAAGACGAGGAAAGAAGAGGUGGUUAAAGAAAGAUACAGUAACAGCAGUAAUAUCUAACAGGAAGGCUACAGGGGAAAAUACAGAAAUUCCAUAAAGAACAAACACUGUAACUCAAAACCAAAGCUUUGCUAGUCACUAGUGCCCGCUACAUCCUAACAGGUGCCGCGUAUUUAAUUGUGAAGUCUUUAACAAUCACAAGAAUAUCUCUGAAUCAUUAAGAGAAUGUUGAAAAAUAGCCACAUAAAGAAAGCAAUAAAGGAGCUAAAUGACUUAGUAGAAAAACAGACUUUAUAAAUAAGUUUAAUUUUCCAAAUAUUUUAUUGCUUAAGAAAGUGACUUCCCUGAUUUGGAGAAUUUAGUUCCAAGAAGGGAUUCAUUUCCUAGUGAUGUUGAGGGUUGCUCUGCCCAGGUACCCUUAAGAUAUAUAAUUGGAGAAUUUUUUAUUAGUAUGACACAAAGAGACUCAGCCUUAAUAAGAAUUUUAUGCUCAACAUGAAAUUAAUAUUUUGCUUUUGAAAUAGUGUAGUGCCAUUAUUUUACUCUUAACAUUUAACAAUUUUUUUUAAAAGAAAGUAACACGCCAUUUUUAUUUCUUGUUAAAAUAAUGUUAAUUGUAAAAAUGUAGACAGUGGGGAGAAAAAUCAUUCAUAGUCCCACCAGCAAAAGACAAACACUGUUAAAACGUAUGUGUGUUAUUUUAGCCUCUUUUUUUUUUUUACAUUGCUAUGCUCUUCUAAAGAUUCCUCAGGUUAUCUAAUUUUUAUUAUCGAUAGAAACUAAAGUUAUUACCCUUUGUGUUUCCAAAUGUGUGUAACAUCUCAAUAAUGUGCUUUAAAAGAAUAAAUUAUUUCAAUAUCCAUGAACCCCA
rnacentral:lncRNA from 1 species